GGUUAAGCGACUAAGCGUACACGGUGGAUGCCCUGGCAGUCAGAGGCGAUGAAGGACGUGCUAAUCUGCGAAAAGCGCCGGCGAGGUGAUAUGAACCUUUGACCCGGCGAUGUCCGAAUGGGGAAACCCAGUGUGUUUCGACACACUAUCGUUAACUGAAUACAUAGGUUAACGAGGCGAACCGGGGGAACUGAAACAUCUAAGUACCCCGAGGAAAAGAAAUCAACCGAGAUUCCCCCAGUAGCGGCGAGCGAACGGGGAGCAGCCCGGAGUCUGAAUCAGCUUGUGUGUUAGUGGAACGGUCUGGAAAGUCCGACGGUACAGGGUGAUAGUCCCGUACACGAAAACACACUUGCUGUGAACUCGAAGAGUAGGGCGGGACACGUGGUAUCCUGUCUGAAUAUGGGGGGACCAUCCUCCAAGGCUAAAUACUCCUGACUGACCGAUAGUGAACCAGUACCGUGAGGGAAAGGCGAAAAGAACCCCGGCGAGGGGAGUGAAAAAGAACCUGAAACCGUGUACGUACAAGCAGUGGGAGCCUCUUUAUGGGGUGACUGCGUACCUUUUGUAUAAUGGGUCAGCGACUUAUAUUCUGUAGCAAGGUUAACCGUAUAGGGGAGCCGAAGGGAAACCGAGUCUUAACUGGGCGUUAAGUUGCAGGGUAUAGACCCGAAACCCGGUGAUCUAGCCAUGGGCAGGUUGAAGGUUGGGUAACACUAACUGGAGGACCGAACCGACUAAUGUUGAAAAAUUAGCGGAUGACCUGUGGCUGGGGGUGAAAGGCCAAUCAAACCGGGAGAUAGCUGGUUCUCCCCGAAAGCUAUUUAGGUAGCGCCUCGUGAACUCAUCUUCGGGGGUAGAGCACUGUUUCGGCUAGGGGGCCAUCCCGGCUUACCAACCCGAUGCAAACUACGAAUACCGAAGAAUGUUAUCACGGGAGACACACGGCGGGUGCUAACGUCCGUCGUGAAGAGGGAAACAACCCAGACCGCCAGCUAAGGUCCCAAAGUCAUGGUUAAGUGGGAAACGAUGUGGGAAGGCACAGACAGCCAGGAUGUUGGCUUAGAAGCAGCCAUCAUUUAAAGAAAGCGUAAUAGCUCACUGGUCGAGUCGGCCUGCGCGGAAGAUGUAACGGGGCUAAACCAUGCACCGAAGCUGCGGCAGCGACACUAUGUGUUGUUGGGUAGGGGAGCGUUCUGUAAGCCGUUGAAGGUGUGCUGUGAGGCAUGCUGGAGGUAUCAGAAGUGCGAAUGCUGACAUAAGUAACGAUAAAGCGGGUGAAAAGCCCGCUCGCCGGAAGACCAAGGGUUCCUGUCCAACGUUAAUCGGGGCAGGGUGAGUCGACCCCUAAGGCGAGGCCGAAAGGCGUAGUCGAUGGGAAACAGGUUAAUAUUCCUGUACUUGGUGUUACUGCGAAGGGGGGACGGAGAAGGCUAUGUCAGCCGGGCGACGGUUGUCCCGGUUUAAGCAUGUAGGCGGAGGUUCCAGGUAAAUCCGGUACCUUUUAACGCUGAGGUGUGAUGACGAGGCACUACGGUGCUGAAGUGAUAAAUGCCCUGCUUCCAGGAAAAGCCUCUAAGCAUCAGGUAACACGAAAUCGUACCCCAAACCGACACAGGUGGUCAGGUAGAGAAUACCAAGGCGCUUGAGAGAACUCGGGUGAAGGAACUAGGCAAAAUGGUGCCGUAACUUCGGGAGAAGGCACGCUGAUA
rnacentral:rRNA from 1 species